rnacentral:rRNA from 1 species
UGGGGAAUCUUGGACAAUGGGGGCAACCCUGAUCCAGCCAUGCCGCGUGAGUGAUGAAGGCCUUAGGGUCGUAAAGCUCUUUCGCCUGUGAAGAUAAUGACGGUAGCAGGUAAAGAAACCCCGGCUAACUCCGUGCCAGCAGCCGCGGUAAUACGGAGGGGGUUAGCGUUGUUCGGAAUUACUGGGCGUAAAGCGCACGUAGGCGGACCAGAAAGUUGGGGGUGAAAUCCCGGGGGCUCAACCCCGGAACUGCCUCCAAAACUAUUGGUCUAGAGUUCGAGAGAGGUGAGUGGAAUUCCAAGUGUAGAGGUGAAAUUCGUAGAUAUUUGGAGGAACACCAGUGGCGAAGGCGGCUCACUGGCUCGAUACUGACGCUGAGGUGCGAAAGUGUGGGGAGCAAACAGGAUUAGAUACCCUGGUAGUCCACACCGUAAAACGAUGAAUGCCAGUCGUCGGGUAGCAUGCUAUUCGGUGACACACCUAACGGAUUAAGCAUUCCGCCUGGGGAGUAC